GACGAACGCUGGCGGCGUGCUUAACACAUGCAAGUCGAACGGAGUGGCGAACGGGUGAGUAACACGUGGGUGACCUGCCCUGCACUUCGGGAUAAGCCUGGGAAACUGGGUCUAAUACCGGAUAGUGUGGGAUGGGGCCGCGGCCUAUCAGCUUGUUGGGGGGGUAAUGGCCUACCAAGGCGGCGACGGGUAGCCGGCCUGAGAGGGGGGACGGCCACAAUGGGACUGAGGCACGGCGCAGAGGGCUACGGGAGGCAGCAGGGGGGAAUAUUGCACAAUGGGCGGAAGCGUGAUGCAGCGGCGCCGCGUGGGGGAUGACGGUCUUCGGGUUGGAAACUCCUUUCACCAUCGACGCGGUAGAUGGAGAAGAAGCACCGGCUAACUACGUGCCAGCCGCCGCGGUAAUAC
rnacentral:rRNA from 1 species